AGUAAUACAUCGGAACAUGUCCAUUUGUGGGGGAUAGCCCGGCGAAAGCCGGAUUAAUACCGCAUACGCCCUGAGGGGGAAAGCGGGGGACUUCGCAAGAGGCCUCGCGCAAAUGGGUUGGCCGAUGUCCGAUUAGCUAGUUGGCGGGGUAAAGGCCCACCAAGGCGAUGAUCGGUAGCUGGUCUGAGAGGAUGAUCAGCCACACUGGGACUGAGACACGGCCCAG
rnacentral:rRNA from 1 species